rnacentral:rRNA from 1 species
UACGUAGGGGGCGAGCGUUGUCCGGAUUUAUUGGGCGUAAAGCGCUCGCAGGUGGUUCGAUGCGUCGUGCGUGAAAGACCCCGGCUCAACUGGGGAGGGUCGUGCGAUACGGUCGAACUGGAGGCCAGUAGGGGGAUGCGGAAUUCCGGGUGUAGUGGUGGAAUGCGCAGAUAUCAGGAGGAACACCGAUGGCGAAGGCAGGUCUCUGGGCCACUACUGACGCUGAGAAGCGAAAGCGUGGGGAGCGAACAGG